rnacentral:rRNA from 1 species
UAGAUCUCAAAUCAGGUAGGACUAC